GAUGAACGCUGGCGGCGUGCCUAAUACAUGCAAGUCGAGCGAACAGACGAGGAGCUUGCUCCUCUGACGUUAGCGGCGGACGGGUGAGUAACACGUGGAUAACCUACCUAUAAGACUGGGAUAACUUCGGGAAACCGGAGCUAAUACCGGAUAACAUGUUGAACCGCAUGGUUCAACAGUGAAAGACGGUCUUGCUGUCACUUAUAGAUGGAUCCGCGCCGCAUUAGCUAGUUGGUAAGGUAACGGCUUACCAAGGCAACGAUGCGUAGCCGACCUGAGAGGGUGAUCGGCCACACUGGAACUGAGACACGGUCCAGACUCCUACGGGAGGCAGCAGUAGGGAAUCUUCCGCAAUGGGCGAAAGCCUGACGGAGCAAUGCCGCGUGAGUGAAGAAGGUCUUCGGAUCGUAAAACUCUGUUAUUAGGGAAGAACAAAUGUGUAAGUAACUAUGCACGUCUUGACGGUACCUAAUCAGAAAGCCACGGCUAACUACGUG
rnacentral:rRNA from 1 species